AUUGAACGCUGGCGGCAGGCCUAACACAUGCAAGUCGAACGGUAACAGGAAGAAGCUUGCUUCUUUGCUGACGAGUGGCGGACGGGUGAGUAAUGUCUGGGAAACUGCCUGAUGGAGGGGGAUAACUACUGGAAACGGUAGCUAAUACCGCAUAACGUCGCAAGACCAAAGAGGGGGACCUUCGGGCCUCUUGCCAUCGGAUGUGCCCAGAUGGGAUUAGCUAGUAGGUGUGGUAACGGCUCACCUAGGCGACGAUCCCUAGCUGGUCUGAGAGGAUGACCAGCCACACUGGAACUGAGACACGGUCCAGACUCCUACGGGAGGCAGCAGUGGGGAAUAUUGCACAAUGGGCGCAAGCCUGAUGCAGCCAUGCCGCGUGUAUGAAGAAGGCCUUCGGGUUGUAAAGUACUUUCAGCGGGGAGGAAGGGAGUAAAGUUAAUACCUUUGCUCAUUGACGUUACCCGCAGAAGAAGCACCGGCUAACUCCGUG
rnacentral:rRNA from 1 species